AUUGAACGCUGGCGGCAGGCCUAACACAUGCAAGUCGAGCGAGCGGCGGACGGGUGAGUAAUGUAUGGGGACUGCCCGAUAGAGGGGGAUAACUACUGGAAACGGUGGCUAAUACCGCAUACUAUUGGAUAACCCAUAUGUGAUUAGCUAGUGGGUGGGGUAAAGGCUCACCUAGGCGACGAUCGCUAGCUGGUCUGAGAGGAUGAUCAGCCACACUGGGACUGAGACACGGCCCAGACUCCUACGGAGGCAGCAGUGGGGAAUAUUGGACAAGGGGGGCAACCCUGAUGCAGCCAUGCCGCGUGUAUGAAGAAGGCCUUAGGGUUGUAAAGUACUUUCGGCGGGGAAGCGGUAGCCGAAGAAGAAGCACCGGCUAACUCCGUGCCAGCCGCCGCGGUAAUAG
rnacentral:rRNA from 1 species